GACAGGGGAUGCAAGUGUUAUCCGGAAUUAUUGGGCGUAAAGCGUCUGCAGGUGGAGAUUUCAGUCUUUUGUUAAAACUCCUGGCUUAACCAGGAAUCUGCAAAAGAAACUAUUUCUCUUGAGUAUGGUAGAGGUAAAGGGAAUUUUCAGUGGAGCGGUGAAAUGUGUAGAGAUUGAAAAGAACGCCAAAAGCGAAAGCACUUUACUGGGCCAUAACUGACACUCAGAGACGAAAGCUAGGGGAG
rnacentral:rRNA from 1 species